AGCGAACGCUGGCGGCAGGCUUAACACAUGCAAGUCGAGCGGGCAUAGCAAUAUGUCAGCGGCAGACGGGUGAGUAACGCGUGGGAACGUACCUUUUGGUUCGGAACAACACAGGGAAACUUGUGCUAAUACCGGAUAAGCCCUUACGGGGAAAGAUUUAUCGCCGAAAGAUCGGCCCGCGUCUGAUUAGCUAGUUGGUGAGGUAAUGGCUCACCAAGGCGACGAUCAGUAGCUGGUCUGAGAGGAUGAUCAGCCACAUUGGGACUGAGACACGGCCCAAACUCCUACGGGAAGCAGCAGUGGGGAAUAUUGGACAAUGGGCGCAAGCCUGAUCCAGCCAUGCCGCGUGAGUGAUGAAGGCCCUAGGGUUGUAAAGCUCUUUUGUGCGGGAAGAUAAUGACGGUACCGCAAGAAUAAGCCCCGGCUAACUUCGUG
rnacentral:rRNA from 1 species